ACUCCAAGAGUUAAACAAUGAAACUUCACCCUCUUUUCUAUUUAAGCAUGUAACCUCUGUGUAUCCUAUGUAUCAAAAAUUAUAAUAAGAAACUUCUAUACCGUGGUUUUUUCUCCCUAUACUAGGGUUUUUCUACGUAAACCUCUGUGUGCAUCUUUUCUCUCUAUUUUCUUUCUUUUUCAUCACCUUUUAUCAAUUAAACCAAAGAUUUCUAAAUCUCCAAUAUUUCAAACUCAAAUUUAAAUCCACCAAUUGAAUUAAAUCCAAAUUUUAAAUCUUGAACACCUAAUUUAAAUUGGAUCAUCUUAGUCUCAAUAAUUCGAUUUUAGCCUCAACGCUCAACAUAACACCCAAAUAAUUUAAGAUAAUUAAAUUAAAAAUUACCUAAAAAUUUGAGAUGUUACAUGAGUUUUGCCCUCCCAUGUUUUAGCCAUCCUCUUCAAUGUCGCUUGUGCUCUAGUCAAACUCGAGUCCCUCUUUAAUGUUACCUCACACUCCCUUGCUUUCACCUUCAUGGUCAACGCUCGCCAAUCCACUUCCAUAACUCCUUAGGUAUAACUAUUGCAUUUUGAGCUCAAUGUCCUCACCUCUCAAGUCUAGAGGGAAGAAACUUUCCACAAUCAUGUUGUCAACUCGCCUACCUUCAACUCCACUGCUUUAUAUGUAUACCUUACACCUUCAAAACGAAUAACUCCGACUCAGUUAACUUAUGAAUUUGAAAAUACUUGUUCACUCUAAAUAACCACAAAUUUAGAUCUGUUACAUUGAACACUGUCAUCUCAACCAUCUUGAACUUGCUCCAAUUGUAUCCUCCCUCUUUGAUCUCGUUCGUUGUUUCAAUCAAUGAUAUCUCCUGCACCAAUUGUGGUGAUUCUACGAACUUCUUUGCCUCUUUGGUCCCCUACUCGACUCUUCUACCAUGGUAGACCCUGAAUUUUUGUUCAUCUGCAUCUCCAUCUCUGUAGCCAAAGUGUCACUCUUUUUUGAGUGUUUUUCGAUGUUCAUUGCUGCUGCUCUGCUAGGCUUUCACAUUCAACCGUUCUGCAUCCUUUGACAAUAUUGCAAGAGUCUCUUCCAUUUUCAGUAACUUCUUAACAUCCUACUUAGUACUUCCGGUUUCCCUAUCUGUUAUUUCCAUCCUUUCCUGCAACUUCUAUGCUAUUUCCUAAUCUUCCCAGGUUGAUUGCUUUUGUAAGAUAUUCCUUUACAAUUAUUGAUAUUUAAGAUAGGGAAAAAGCCCCAAGGCAAUACAGUCUCUCAGCCCUUCGAAAAAGGGUUGAGGCUGAGUAUCUCUCAGACUUGAAUACUGAAAACAUGGAAAAUGAAAAUACUACCCUCAGCAUAUUAUUACUCCCCACCUAAUAAACUGCGGACACAAACGACCAGCUACAGCAUUCCUCAAUCCUUGUUCCCAACAGUAAAUCUCCAUACGCUCUCAUAGUCAUAACUAACUUGCCUCCUCGGACAUUACCAUUUUAAACCUCUUGUAUUGAUACAAUAUUGGUGGGGCCUAGCAGUAGCCUUAUUUUAGAUGUAUGUUUUAAUAUUCUGUUUCAGAUAGUUUUUUCUUUCCUGUUCAGUUAAAUCUCUCACUCUAGACAUAUACAUAUAUUGGAUAUUUCUGCAUUCUUCAUCUUCCUUCCAACAUUAAUUAAACUACCAGAAGCUUUGCGAAGCUAAUCUAUUUACUUCAGAGAUGAACAUCUCAUAAUAAGUAAUAUGGGAAGUUUACCAAGAACUUUAUUUGACUUAUUUUUGUAAUACAACCUUGUGUUUCUAUGAGGGCUUUGGAGGAUUGAUCGGUUGGUCAUAUCUGAUUCUGGCAUUCAUUUCCUUGUGACUUAUGAACAGGAGAAACAACUGUGCAAAUCAAGUUACCUUCAUCAGCAUAUAUACAAAUGAAUGAAGCAGCGUGCUGCUUCUGCAUUUCGAUGUUUGCAUGUCUUAACCUUUUAUGAUAACUCCAAUGUUACAAUAUAUAUUAUAUAUUCAGCAACAUAACAUUCUUUAUCUUUGGAAACUAUGUACUUGACAUGUUCUUCCCUGAUGCUCAUAUUGUGCGGUCUCAGUGAUUGGCAUGUCCCUUAUAAAUUGUCCUUUGAUAUGAUGGCAAAUGAGAGUCCUGUUGUUGCCCCGGCAGUUUGAUUGAGUGAUGAUUUGUGCAUUGCGGAAUUAUGCAAAUCUCUUCUGUAGGGAAUUUCAGCUACAAUUAUCAUCAGCUUGCAUCGAAAAUAUGUAUGGUUGUCACUCAGUAUGAAACUUAUUGUGAUGUAAGUUUUACUCUAGAGUGAUUUUGAGAUUGUUCCUUUGAUCAUGUUUAAAAUCAUUUUAAAACAUGUAUUUAAUCACACAA